AUCAAUUGCAGCAAUUAUAUCAGAUGUAUAAGCGCCUUCUUCCCACAGGGCCUUGUACAUGGCCACAUGGGCCCGCGGAGCCACUCCACUAGCGGUUCCUGGAGCAUAGCCGAAGUAUGAUGCGCCUUCGACGAAAUUCCCCGCUGCGGUGCUCGAGGUGUGGGUCCCGUGGCCUACAGUGUCACGCGUAGAAUUCAUAGAUAGAGUGAUUUUAGGAUUUCUAGCGAUUAGACCUUUGUUGAAAAAGCGAGCUCCAAUGAGUUUGUUGUUACAUAAAGAGGUGUUGAAUUGGAUGCCACUUUCACAUUCUCCUUUCCAUCUUUCUGGAAUUUUAGAAAUUCCUUUGUCACUAUAACUCUCACUUUCAGGCCAAACACCUGUAUCCACCACCCCAAUAAUAAUAUCUUCACCAUAAUUCGACACAUUCCAUGCUCCAGCUCCAGAAUUAAAACUAAGGCCCAAAAAUGCUGGUGAAUGGGUUGUGUCGAGUUUUACAGGCAGGUCUUUGAUGGAAGAAAUAUACCCUGGAGAGUUUUUCAAGGUCUCAAGCUCAUAAGAGGAGAGAUGAGCACUAAAACCACUGAUGACAUGAGUAUAACUAUAGAGAAGUUUAGCGGAGGCAGUGAUAUUGGUGGUGCUUCUGGCUUUAGAGCCUGCAAAAACAGAAGAAAGAGUUGCCAAGUGCCAGGUACGCUGGCUAGAGAAGGCUUUGGGCA
rnacentral:misc_RNA from 1 species